CUCUUCUGCAGACAGUCCUAAAAUCAGCCAUGGUGAAGAUUUCUGGAGAAGCCCAGUUAAGACUUUUCUGUGGAGAAAGGGGGUGCCACUUAACCUUCUCUUAUCUCACUUGAUUAAAAUGCUUUUGUUCAACUUCCAUGUUCCUGUGAAAAAGGACGUUUUCCUACAUAACCACAACAACAUUACUGCACUCAGGAUAUUUACAAUUGAUUGAUAAUAUCUGAUAAAAAUCACUUCAAAUUUUUCCCAACUGACAGAAAAUGUACUUUGUAGUUUUUAGCACCUAUAUUAGUUUAAAAGCCUUACUGUUUAGCAUUUCAUAUUUAAUCUUCAAUCCACCUGAAAUUGACUUUUGUGAUCAUGUGAGAAGUUCCCAUUUUAUACUGCUUUCCGAAAGAAUAACUAUAUUGUCACAGAACCUUCACUAAAUAGACCAUCUUUUUCAAAUAGCUGUGCGAUGCCACCUUUGUCAUAAAUCAAGUUUGCUGUAAAGAAAAGGAAGGCAGCAGUCAUAGAAAGGUAGUGGUUGCCUCAGAAGUGUCUUUGGGAAGGGUCUGGUUGUUCUAUUUUUGUACGAAUGGUGAAAAGUGCGUUAAAAAAAAUUACUGACUUAUAUUUCAGAACGUGAUUGUAUGUUUCCCAAUAAAGGGGGGGGGAACACUACCCCCAAGGAGGGGAGCACCAGAAUCUUAGAAGUGAGCUCGUGGCUUGUCCUUCAGUGGGAAAGCUGGUGCGAGGCUCUAAGAUGCAGAUGUAGAGCCAAAGGUUGUCAAGGAGCAGACACAGCGCCUACAAUCAGGGGAGAGUUCGGUCUAGAACUAAACGACAAGCACACACGGAGCCCCAAGCUCCCAGAGUUUCCCUAAGCCCAAGCCAGUGAUAGGAGAAGCCUCCUUGGCCCGCUGGGAGCGGGAUUCGAGUCGGAGCUACAUCCUCGCGAGGACUGGGCAGCGCCGCGAAGGACUCUGGGAAGAGGUGGUGUUCGGGCUCCCCAGGGCAAUCUGGGGCGGGGCUCCCGGCACGGGGUAGUCCUCUGUCUCUAGGCUCCCUCUGCGGGUUAUUGGUGCUUUUAAGGAACAGUCCUGAAGCAGUUCCGAGGCUACGUUGAAGCCAAGUGGAGUCCGGGGGGCGAAGGAGCUGGGGGAUUGUACAGACUGCUUUUCGGAGUCCAAGGGCCUGAGUUCCCGGAUCGCUGCGUCCUCCUCCCUCCUUCCCUGCCCCGGGGUGGGAAUCGCCCGCGGCCACCGUCUCCGCUCCUCUCCCGUCGCAGCCAGAUUCUCUAUUCUGCCCUUUCCUGUGAGGAGGAAGACCAGCUGAGUUUCAGAUCCAAACUCUCCUACUUUCCCAUCUAUCUCACGUAUUAUUCCCUGGCUUCUUUGUGAUAUCGUCUUCAUCUCCAUGACCCAAACUAGAGCAGCGCUAGAAGAAACCACACCAAAAGGAAAUUAUUCUUUAAGGACACUGCAGAUUUCGACCUUGCAGGAUAUGAAAUUUCUGAUGCCUGUUUUCUUUUUUUUAUAAUGAAGAUAAUAUCUACACUUUUAAAUAUGAGCGUGGCUUUCCAGGCCAGCCCCAGAGAUACCAACCCCCUGAUUUUCCUCCAAGGCGGAAGAAGCCUUCCAGGUUUCUCCGGAAACGCGCCCGGAGGCCUUGUGGGCAAUGUGGUCUCUGAGCGAUGCACACUUCCGCACACGCGCGGUGGGGCUGGACCCGGUGUUCGCCUUUUCAGACCUGUGCAGUACUCAGUGCGGCGUGGGUUUCCUCCCUCGUUUCUGCGGGAGGAUGCUGUAGCCCCAUUCUGGUAGUAGUGACGGAAAUGGGAGACAGGCGACGAAAAGGUGGCAGGGUGCUGGGGAUGGCGAUUGAAGCCAGGGCCUUGAGUAUGCAAGGCAAACACUCUACCAGGUCUCCUCUAUCUAAAAGCUGCAGAAAAAUGAUCAAUUUACAGAAUCUGAGUCACAAUGGAAUCAAGCAAAGAAAGAAUGCAGAACACUGAACCCACCAUAUAGACCUUCAUUUCUCAACUGAAAGUCAUGCAGAAGAAGCUGCCCUGCCUCGUUCCUGCUCAGCCUCCUCUUUAUCCCCCAUCUACCCCUGCACUAGCUGGGUCUUCAGCUCCCUCCCUUCCUCCUCUCUUGCCUCUUAUCCCUAUGACUUCUCUGUCUCAUCGCCCUGUGACUUCCUCCAUCAGCAGUCACUUAGAUCAAACUAGUUCUCUUCCCAUCUCCUUCCCAAACCAUCUCCCUCCUCUUACCAAUCUUUCCUCAUCCCAUCUCCCUGCAUGGGUCACCUCUACCCUGGCCUGUCCUCCUCCUGUCACCUACCUUCCUCCUCUCCCUCUCCCUUCUAUUCGCCGUCCCUUCUGACUUGCUCCCCUCUUCUCCCAUGCUUCUCCCUUUAUCUCUGCCCCUCCUCUUCACCCUUCCUUCCCCCGAUGUAUGGGCCUUGGACCCAGAUAGAUACCCCUUGCUUCUGCUGGAACAUCUGCCCCAGCCUGCCCUCAUCAGGCCUGAUGAUACCCAUACUCCAUGUGGAGGCCCCAGAUCCCUACCAAGAGGGGACCUGGCUUCUCCCAGAGCUUCUGGGAUUGUGGUAUCCAGCAUCCUAGUGACCUGGUGGACAUGGGGGACACUGAAUGGUGACUAGCAGUAAUACAACCUGGAGGAGCACCUCCCUCAGGUAAGGGUCUCUUUCCCAAGAUUGCGUUCUCAGCCAGUACCUAGACGUUAAUUCUCCGGCUGGCUCAAUCCAGUGCAUUCCUUCCUCCUUCCCCAGGAUUAUUUUUACAUAAGAUACUCCAUUAGGGAGGAAAGUUUAGGAAAAAUGCCAAGUGAAUUCUGAUUAUCUCUAAUAAUCACAAUUGUUAAGUCACAUGUUCUGACAUACAGACACAAUAGGACACAGUGUAUGCACAUACAGGUUACUAUAACCUUGCAGAGAGAUCAGCAUGGACAUAUGAGGCAGCUUUAGCCUGAUGGUGUGAGUGCAAUGCUCCUAAGAUGUUUUGUUUUCCCUUCCUUUUGAUACAAUACCAACAACUUGAUUUGGAUCUCUCAGUUUAGUUCUAUUUCAUAUUUAUCAGUUGAACUCCAUUUGGUGAUAGCAUACACUUAAUCUUGGAACAAGAUUAAGCUCAGGAACAAAGGUCCAAGCUAACCAUUCUUAGUUCAUAUCCUGAUUUUAUCAUUGGCCUGUGCCGGGUCUCACUCUUGUUUUAUUUACUUAUUCACUUUUUAAAAAAAAUUUUUUUUAGUUGUCGAUGGACCUUUAUUUUAUUUAUUUAUACGCAGUGUAAGAAUUGAAUCAGCUUCACACACACUAGGCAAGUGCUCUACCACUGAGCCACAACCCCAGCCCUAUUUAUUCACUUUUAGCCCUUUUCCCACUUGUCCUCACCUCUGAAGAGACAGGAGGACUGCAAGUUCAAGUUCAGACUCAGCAACUGAUUGAGGCGCUAAGCAAUUUAAUGAGACCCCAUCUCAAAAUAAAAAAUAAUAAAAAGGACUGAGGAUGUGGUAAAGCAGCUCUGGGUUCAAUCCUCAUUAACAAAAAAAAAAAAAAAAGGAAAAAUAAAAAGACCUCUGAACACAUUUUUCUAUGUGCACAUAGAUAUUCUUGUAAAAUAUGUGGCUCUUAUUUUGUGGAUUAUAUUUUUAAAUUUUGUACAUAUCAUGCUCGAGACUUUAUUAGCCUUUUCCCCUAGCAACUUUUUUUUUGUGUGUGUGUGUGUGUGUGUGGUGCUGGGGAUUGAACCCAGGGCCUUGUGCAUUCAAGGCAAGCACUCUACCAAUUGAGCUGUAGCCCCAGUUCCCCUACUCUCUAUUUUUAAGAUCCAUCUCUGCAUGUAUACAUCAUCUGCAUUUCUAACUUUUGCACUGUAUGUACUCCAUAUUGUACUUACCUCUGUUACAUGCAUCCAUUUCCCCAGGGACAGAGGGAACCUAGACUGCCUCAAACUCUCCACCUCCAUGGACUGUCUUUCACAUGUUCACUUUUAAUACCAUGUGAGAGCUCUGUCAAAUUGGUACCCAGUAUGGGAAGUAUUGGGUUAAAUAGGUUGCUCCAAUCUAAACUUCCACACUUACAAAUACGUGUCCUCCCUGGGAUUGAAAUCAUUCAUCAUAUGUAUUCAUAAGGUCAGUUCAGUAAGAUCCCUCUGGGCCAUGGACAUGCCUGAGACCAAGUGUGGGAAGUGAUUUUAUCAAACCCACAAGAGGAAUUUUGGUUUUGUUGAGGCAAAAAUUUUUAUAACUAGUUUAUGUUUUGCAGAUUCUCCUGUCCUUGUGGUGUUCUUUUAUCCGUCUAUGGAGUUUUGAUAUGUGCACGUGCACGUGCGAGCGCACACACACACAAAUUGAGACUGUAGACUCCCCAUUUUACCACUGACACAGCAAGCAUUAGCUAAUGGCCCAGGGUCAUGUUAGGGUUAUUUUAAUGGAGCCACUUGGCAGACUUCUUCUGCAGCCUCUUUACAACUUGUUCUUAUAUUUAUUACUACUAUAGUAUUGCUAUUACACAUCCAUCCACAGUGCCUCCCACUUUUCAGAAGCUGGUGGGAUGUUCAGCAAGUUCCUUUUCCUUAGGCAGGUUGCUCCCCACCACCCCCUUAUCAUCUGUGCUAUGCAUAUUAUCAGUAGUGCUGAGUAGUACCCCAUAAACUAAUAUGACACAAACUGUUUUUCCAUUGCACUCGUAGGUAGAUAUGACGAUUAUCCAUAUGUUGCCUCUUAACUCCUAACUUGCUCCUUUUAAGCUGUCCUUUCAGUGAGCACAACAUUGAACUUUGUCAGUAGAUGGUGGCAGGGGGACAUUGCAGGUGGAAGGAACUCCUCAUCCUGGUUCCAGUGUGCUCCUGUUUUAUCCCCUCCUACUGCUCUGCUGCCAGAUGCAUGUGUAUGGACAUCCAUUAUCAUUCUGCCCCAGCUGGGUGUCCCCAUCAGUACCCCUGAGUACACAGUCCUAGUCCUCCCAGUGAGGACUUCGUACACCUCAGGUCUUGCACUCACCCUGCAGUUGAGCAGGCCUUGACACUUUUCUCUGUGCCAUUCCAUUCACCAGUGUCUCCCCCGCUGCCCCUGCCAUAGUGGGGUUGUUUCCAGUGGCCCUCCAGAUAUGGACACCAUGCCUCCGGGCUUACACCUCUCCACCUGCAAUCAGGUUCCUGCCUCUCUGACUCUUCCCUGCUACUCUUUGCCUGCCCCUCAGGAGAUCUGCAUAUAAUUGAACCAGAGUGGUCCACAAUGACUGCCUCGAGCUGCAUUCUCAAUAGCUUCUCUGAGGUUUCUGUAUCAUCAUGACCCAUCAUCAUUUAACAUUAUUCAACUUUCUCAUUUUUUGCCAGCCUAUUAUAGGUACAAAGUGAUGUCUCAUAAUUGCGCUAAUUUGCGCAUUAAUAAUUAACAUUACAAGUUCUUCUUUGUCCUUAAGUCACAAAAAUAUUUUUCUUACAUUUUCUUUUAUCAACUUUAUAUUUUACCUUCCAAUUGUAGGUCUAUUAAACCACAUAGGGCUUAUCUUUGUAUCUCAGAUUAGGUAGGGAUACUUUUUUUUUUUAAUCCUGAUAGUGAACUAGCUUCUUUAACAUUUAAAAUAAUCUGUCAUUGUUUUAAGGUUGCUCCUUUGUCUUCUAUUGUUUUCCCAGAUAUGUAUGUGUUAAUAUUUGGGCAUUCUCUUAAACAGAGUUGAUUGAACAAUUCAGGGACUUGCAUUGCUUCAUCUAAAUUGGAGAGUAAGUUUUGUUUAAAAUGCCAACUGAAAUUUUGAUUAAAUUACAUUGAAUUUAUAGAUUGGGGGAAAUUACUCUCUUUAUAUUGAACCUUCUCAUCCAAGAAUAGGAAUGUUGCUCAAUUUAUUCAGAUUAGCUGUUUUCCUAGCAUUUCUAAGUUUUCUCCAAAAGGUCUUAUAUACUCUCAAAUAAUCCCCAGAUACUUAGGGAUUUUUUUUGGUGGCGGGGGGGGGGGGUGUUAUGGGGAUUGAACUAGGAGCCCUUUUUCACUAUGCUACAUCCCCAACCCUUUUUAUUUUAGAUGGAAUCUCACUAAGUUGCUGAGUCUAGCCUGGAAUUUGGGAUCCUUCCACCUCAGCCUCCCAAAUUACUGGGAUUACAGGCAUGUGCCAUGAUACCCAGAAAUAUUUAAUGAGUCUUAUUGCUAUUGUGAAUAAUAUUUUGUUAUUAUUUGUUGGUUUUAGCUUCUGUAGAAAAAUGCAGCUGGUUUUUGUAGGUUGAUCUUAUUAUCCAGCAACCUUGCUGAAUGAUCUUAUUAGUUCUAAUAAUUGAUGCUUUUUUAAAAAAAUAGGUAAAUAAAUUAUCUACAAGUAAA